UCGAAAUCAUCACACGGAGUUGGAUGUUCGUUGUGGAGACUUCUGUUGUUGUUGCUGGCCUUUCACGAGGCAUGUGCACACACAGGAGGGUCGUCAUCAGCGAGCCUCUCCAACUUCUGAUUUCUCCACACACACACACACACCUUGUGAACACAUGUGGAAUGAAGGGGGGGAGGCUGGAUAACGGCCUUCUUUUCUGACCUCCAUCUUUUUAAUUCACACACGCUUGUAAAACCCGAGAUGUACUAUUUGUAAAUGAAAUAAA
rnacentral:misc_RNA from 1 species